CUGAACGCUUCUCAAACUGUAGGGUCCUUGAUCCUACCGGAAGGGUGAGCUCAGUGCCUGACCUCUGGAAGUCAACACUCAUACUUUCUGGUUUGUCAAAGCCAUUUUGUCUUAAGUUUUCUCCAGUCCCUCAUCUCAGCGCUAUGCGGGUUCAUCACUGCCACCACUGUGGCACACGUUCUGACUACGGCCCUGAUCCAGAGUAAUAAGAAAGAGUCUGUCAACUACUUCAGCAGCAGCAACCGUAUAAUCCAUCUCAGGUAGUAUUUUACUUGAACUUUGAAAAUCGUAUUUUAAAGGCAUAUUUAUUCAAGCACUCAUUAGAUAUUGAACGGCUGUAAGUGAUGUGUACUAUUAUUGUUUUAAGCAUUAUUUACAUUUAUUUAACAGACUUGUCUGUCCUGUGAAGUGCUCCGGUAAAGUCUGACAUUCUGACUGAUAAUAACGGGAAAGUAAUGGAUUUUUUAUUCGCAAUCAAAGCAACGCAGUUUAACCCAAAAUACAAGCGGAGGCACGCAACUUGCGGUCCGGUUCCGUAACCGCGGCGCGCACGUCACUACCCGUGAGUGUAUUAUGGUAAAGCUUAACGGGCUACAAAUUAUGAUCAAACGAGGUGGUUGUUUGAGAUGAAAGAUGCGUCACAAUUAAUGAUGAACAAACAUGAGAUCAGUAUUUAGGCCUGACUGAUUCAUCCCUUCCGUGAUUCCUUCAGUAGUUCCUGUUCACAAAGUUCACAAAGGUUUGCAGAAUUUAUAGAUAUGGUAACAAAUACGACGUAGUUUGUGGUUAUGAUAGCAUAAUAUUUUAUUUGUGCCAAGUUGCAAGUUGUUUUAUUUGUGUCAAAUUCAGUGUUACCUGCAUGCAUCAAUCCAAGGAUCAAAACAAGAAUCAGAAUUUAUGAAUGAUAACAUCCAUCCAUCCAUCCAUUUUUCAAAUCGCUUAUCCUUCUGGGUCGCGAGGGGUCCUAUGGGCAUGAGGCAGGGAACAACCCAGGAUGGGGGGCCAGCCCAUCGCAGGGCACACUCACACACCAUUCACUCACGCAUGCACACCUACGGGCAAUUUAGUACCUCCAAAUAGCCUCAGCAUGUUUUUGGACCAUGGGGGGAAACCGGAGUACCCGGAGGAAACCCCAUGACGACAUGGGGAGAACAUGCAAACUCCACACACACGUAACCCAGGCGGAGACUCCAACCCGGGUCCCAGAGGUGUGAGGUAACAGUGCUAACCACUGCACCACCAUGCUAACCACUGCACCACCAUGCUAACCACUGCACCACCAUGCCGCCUCCUGAAUGAUAGCAUGUUAGGACUAAACGCAAGUUUAAUAGUAACAAUGAUCUUAAUUUUGAUUUGACUCAAACAUUUAAUGACUCCUUCAGAUGGACUUCAGUAUAGUAGUGGCAGCCAGAGGCACCAUAAAGGGGAGGGAAGUUCAGAAGUUCAAAUAGCACAUUUCAUACACGAAGCAGGCAUUCAAGAAAAAAAAUAGUGUAAUCUGAGUAAUGGGGGGGCCUGUGCCCCAGGAAAGAUUUAUGUCCAGCAGGAGCCCUGCUUUUGUCCAAUGUAAUGUAGCGAUAGAGGAUACAUUAGAAGCAUACGACUGUCGACACAUAUGCUGCAGGCUGAGCUUGUAAUGAAUGAUCACAAGCUGAGCAGCGUAAAGCAGCGUGAGGGUCAGCUAUGUAUUGUAUCUGUAUUAUAAGAUGCAGUUCUCCACCUCAGCUCAUAGACAUGCAUUUCAGUAUUAUGGGGGUAUUUCAUGUGAUAUUUUUGUCAAGUUAGAAGUUUAAAUGUGAGAUGCCUGGCGAAGCCGUGUUUGUAAGGUCCAUAACUAACAGUGACUCUGCGUCUAACUCUGUGUCUCCACAUGGGAACAUCUACACCCCUAAUUGUGUCUGCAAGGGCAGCGUGAACUCUGUGAAAUUUACUAAAUGAGGGGCCUGGUUCCCAACCCAUACAGAUGGAGGCUGGUGAUCAAACUUCUCCUGGUCCUCUGGCUUGUACAAUAUCUCCAGUUUGUCUUGGCGACAGAUAUAGAAACUCAUCUUGGAAAGACUGUCACACUGCCCUGUGAUGGACCAAUAGGUGAAGUCAGCGAGGAGGUUGAUGUCUUGUGGCAGUUUAACGGAAUGCCUGCCGCUCGGUUUCACAACGGGACUUGGUGUGAACAUGGUGACUUUGUAGGCCGAACUCAGCUUGGAUCCAUCCGACAGAACAACUUCUCUUUGGUCAUUAACAAUGUCAGACUGGAGGAUCAAGGGGAAUAUAGGUGUCAAAUCAACAGCAAAGAAACGCAACGGUUUCACCUCUUCGUUAAAAGUAAAUCAUUCUUCUGACCUUUCGCCACAUAACUCAGUCUGUCUCCCCUGAUCUGUGUGACCACAUCCCUAACCCAGAAGAUGAGAGCAGCAGGGAGAUCUCUCCGCACCUCGUCUUUAUUCCCAGACCUCCAGGUCCCUUGGUCACCUUGCGUUUCCCCCCCAAACUGCUGUGCCUCUAGUAUUUUAUACGAGUCAGCAGACUCGGCUGAAUGCAGUGCUAGUGGGAGAACAUUCCAAAGCCUUGGAGGAACAGACUGAAAGGCACAAUCCCCAUGUGUGGUUAGCUGGGUACAGGGGACGACGAAGGGGCCCUGUAGCCCAGACCUAAGUACCAGAGAAGCUGCAUAAUGGUGCAUGAGGCCAGUGAUAUAUUCCAGUGCUUUCCAAUGCAUUUAAGAUCAAGGUAGUCGUGUAUGUAGGCCAUACAGAGAGAAACAAGCUUCAGAUGAAAACACCUCAGCGUCCCCUUCAGGAGGACACAUGUUAGUGGGGCUUUGUGUGAUGGGUGGUGUUGUGGCCAGUUUGGUGGCUGCAGUGUUAAUCAUACUACUGAAAAAGAACAGAUGAAACCUGGGCUGAUCCAGCACCAUCUUCUGAGGAUCUUCUGUAGAUGUUCAUGUCUGUUUCCUCAUUCCUUGUGUAACAGGUUGUUAUUUUACUUUUUAAUUUAUAAUUAUACAAGAUUCUGUUUUCCUUUUUCUGUUUUACCUGAUGGGUACAAUAUCCCUUAAACUUCCCAUGAUGCUCUUGUCCUGCAUCGCCCCUCCCUCUGUCUUUUCCCCUUUAUAAGGGUCCCGACCUCAUUUCCUCUUCCCUUUGGUGUAUUGCACACGCGGGAAGAGGUGAGGAUCUAGUGGAAGGGUCCCCCCAGUUAAUAAAUCAAUUGUAUAAUUAUGUUCCAUAUAUCAUAUAUUAUAUUUGAUUUAUUAUAAGUAGGGGAUAUAAAACAUGGCUAUACAUAAGUAUGUACAUCGUUUUACUUUGUGCAGAGACAGCGAGAGGGCCAGAGCAGACGAAGUUUACCCCUUUCCCUAAUGUUCCCAACAGGUUCAAUAAAAAAAUUCGGGAACGACAA